GAGAGAGAGAGAGAGAGAGAGCGUGCACGAGCAUGCGUGAAAGAGCAGCUCUCUGAGGGCGAUUAUAACGAGAAAAGAGGGAGAGGGAGGAAGACAGAUUAAACAGACUGAACGCAACUGUUGUUUUAAUCCUCUGAGCGGAUAGAUUUAGAGAAAAAACCCUCCUGAAUUGGAGAAGAGCAGCCAUAUUGCAUGGACCUUCGGUGGAGUAAUAAUACGAGUCACCGGAGCAGAGAUACACGGAGUUCACGAGCAAACGAUCCGCUCAGCAGCCGACUGACUACUCGUACACAGCACUUUCCCGUUUCAUUUGACUUUCUCCUAUUUAUUAUUUAUUUAUUUUAUUUUUAAGAUAGUGUUAAGCAGUAGAUUGAAAGAUGAAGGACCGACUGGAGCAACUAAAGGCGACUUGCGAUCAUGAUGAUGAUGAUGUUGAGAUCGCUGUGGACAACGCUGCCUUUAUGGAUGAGUUCUUCUCCCAGAUCGAAGACAUCAGGAACAGCAUUGAUAAGAUCGACGAGAAUGUGGCCGAAGUGAAGAAACUCUACUCGGUUAUUCUUUCUGCACCAACAUCAGACCAGAAAACGCAGGAUGAUUUGGAGGCACGUACUAACGAUAUCAAGAAAAUGGCCAACAAUGCUCGUAACAAACUGAAGACCAUUGAAAGGAAUCUAGAGAUGGAAGAAGUGGAGAGAGUAUCGGCCGACUUGAGAAUACGCAAAUCACAGCACGCCGUACUUUCCAGGAAGUUUGUUGAUGUGAUGACCAAAUACAAUGAAGCCCAGGUUGACUUCAGAGAGAAAAGCAAAGGUCGCAUUCAGAGACAAUUAGAGAUCACUGGUAAAACCACAACUGAUGAGGAGCUGGAGGAGAUGCUGGAGGGAGGAAACACAGCUGUUUUCACAGCGGGGAUCGUGGAUUCAGGGAUCUCUAAACAAGCGCUGAGUGAGAUCGAAUCACGUCACAAAGACAUUGUGCGUCUGGAGAGCAGCAUAAAGGAACUGCACGACAUGUUUGUGGACAUCGCCAUGCUGGUGGAGAGCCAGCAUCCUUGUCUCUCUUCCUCUUUGUUCAAACUCGUUCUGUCGGUUGCUAAGCCGUAUUCUGCUGGUCGGAGUGACUUCCCAUCAGCCUUUUCUCUCACAUGGCGGUAUGAUUGAGAGGAUUGAGAACAACAUGGAUCAGUCAGUGGGUUUUGUAGAGCGGGCGGUUGCUGACACUAAAAAAGCCGCUAAAUUUCAGCAGGAGGCUCGACGUAAGAAAAUGAUGAUCAUGCUUUGCUGUGUGAUUCUGGGGAUUGUUGUCUUUUCUUACCUUUACAGCUUCUUUUCUUAAUGGUAAGAGUCCUAACUAAUAUACAUGUUUAAAGGAGACUGGGGCAGGUUGUCACAAGUAAACUAUAAAUGUGUUGUUGUUUUUUUCUCUCCAGCAGUCUGUGUAUUUUAAUUUCAGUUUUAUAUUGAUUUUGAAUACUGUCUUCCAAACUAAAAUAACAUGGAAUGAAUCCUAUAAACCUGUGGGUAAACAAACAAACAAACACAUUUCAACCACACUGACACUGGUUUAACUGGUGUUCUCUGAACAAGAGUGUUGUGUGCUCAUCAACAAUGUUUUUAUUAUUAUUAUUAUUAUCCGUGAAAACUUUACAUUUAUUUGAUGAAAAAUGCAGUUAAAUAUUAUAAUUUAAAAUAACUAUUCUUCCCUUUUAAUGUUUUAAAAUAUGAUUUAUUCCUGUGAUCCAAAGUUGAAUUUUCAGCAUCAUUACUCCAGUCUUUAGUGUCACGCGAUCCUUCAGAAAUCAUUCUGAUAUGCUGCUCAAAAACAUUUCUUAUUAUCAGUGUUGAAAACAGUUGUGCUGCUUCAUAUUUUGUGGAAAACUUUUUUUUUUCAUGAUUCUUCGAUAAAUAAAGAGUUUUAAAAAAAUAGCAUUUAUUUAAAAUAAAUAGUUUGUCAAAAUAGUAAAUAGUUUUGCUGAAUAGAAGGGAAUGAAAUAAAAUAAAUCUUACUGACUACUUAAUAUUUCAUGUGUGCUCGUCUCUAAUUGCUACUUUUACUAUCUUUCAGGCUGAAGUGACUUCGAGACCACAACUAAACCUGCUCCCAUUAUAUUUCCUGCUCAAUUAGCCUCAUUUCAGAGAUCCAGUGCUGUGUAGUGCUUCAUCCAGACGACCCCGUCUCUCAGAGCACCGGAGCGCCCCCAGCCGCUCACCAACACACGGACGAGUCCUGAAGAAAGCAGCCCACAGACACGGCCAUUUAGGAGUUCGCCAUCGGGAAGAUUUGUGAUAUUUUUAAAUAAUUUUGUAGUCUCUUGUGCUCAGCAUGGCUGUAUUUAUAUGAUCAGAAAUGCAGAAAAAAUAUUAUUGCAACUUUUUAUAUAUAUUUAAAAUAAUUUAAUUCUGUGAUCAAAUCUGAAUUUCCAUUCGCAUACUCCAGUCUUUGUGUCACGUGGUCCUUAAAAGUUAUUUAUUAUAAAUGUUGGGAACAGUUGUGCGCUUAAUACACACACACACACACACACACACACACACACACACACACACACAUAUAUAUAUAUAUAUAUAUAUAUAUAUAUAUAUAUAUAUAUAUAUAUAUAUAUAUAUAUAUAUAUCGGUAUAUAUAUUAUUAUUUUUUAUUUAUUUAUUUUUUGGGGGGGGACCUGUGAUAUUUUUUCUGGACUGAUGAAUACAAAGUUAAAAAGACCAGCAUUUAUUCAAAAUAGAUAUAUAGAAUAUUUUGUAACCAUGUGCACCACCUUUUAUUUUAUUUUUUUAAUUUUUAAAGGAAUUAAGUCUUUUAUUCAGCAAGGAUGUGUUAAAUAGAAAAAUAAAAAGUGAUCAUAAAGACUUAUACUGUUAGAAAAGAUUUUUAUUUUACAUAAAUGUUGUUCUUUUUAACUUUAUUCAUCAGAUCCUGAAUCCUGAAAAAAAAAAGAAUCACAGAUUCACCAAACAUUUUAAGCAGCACAACUGUUUCCAAAAUUGAUAUUAAAUCAUAUUAAAAUGAUUUCUGGAGGAUCACGUGACACUGAAGACUGGAGUAUUGAUGCUGAUUUCUAAUUAUAUAUAUAACCAUUAUCUUAAAUUACAAUAAUAUUUCACAAUAUUGCAGAUUUUCCUGUUUUUUUUUUUUUUAUAAAAGCAGCCAUGAUGAGCAGAACUUUUUCAAAAAAAAAAAAAAAAAUUAUUGUGUGUGUGUGUUUGUCCUUGUUCGUUUUUCCUCAUGGUCAUAUGUCUCAUAUAAUUUGGAUUUAGGCCUAUAGUUCAAUAUAUUGUUUGGUUUAAUGUUUUAGUGUUGCUAUUUAUAAGGAUUGUUUUUAACUGCAGUAAAGUACACGUCUUUAAAAUGUUUCAAUAAGGGAUGAUUAAAUUGUGCGUGCUAUGUAUCUAUUAAAAUGAGACUGAAGAAA